ensembl:lncRNA
GGGGCCGGGGAGGCACUUUGAGAGAUGAGGAGUGUGGAGGAAACUAGGGCUGGGCAUAGCAGAGCCACUCCCGCAAAGAGCUAACAGGGAAGAUAAGCUGAUCUCAUUUCUGAAGACCUGGGGGCUCCCUUCUGAAGGUGGGGAAGCUCGAGAGGAGUAGGAGGAGAUCUGAGCCCGUCUGGGGAUACCCCGGGACAGUCAAGAUGCAGAGAAUAAGGCGUGACCUGUCUGAGGUCACACUCUAGAAAGGAGCAGCAUCAGGACUCAGAUGCAGGUAUUUGUCCAUAAGCACUCAUCUUAGUCACCAGGAAUGUUGGGGAACACAGUUUUACGUGCUGUGAGGAGACCUGAAGAAAUAUGUCACCCUCCCUGCCCUCAGGGAGCUUACAGUCCAUCCAGGAAGAGGAGAAGAGCACAUGUCAAAAAGCUUCAAGGUUCCAGGUCGUAUGUGUUGAAUGAAUGGAGACAUGAAGCAUAAACGUUUCAAGGAAGGUGUGCGUCUGGGCUGGGUGGCUGCUAACUUCAUGACUGGGACAACACUGAAGACUCUUUCCUGAUACUCUUCAAGUGCUUGUUUCUCUAAAACUACCACUCCUUUCUGGUUUAUAGCCCAGGGCCAUCCUGGACAGUCGCCACCAGGCCUGCCAUCACUAUGGGGUGGCCCAAGGCCAUGUCUGCCAGGAACACCACCAUUUGGUAUUUAUCUAUGCAAAAUUUACAUUGACCGCUGAUGAGCAAAACAGUGCGCUCCACAUAUAGAUUGAGGGUGUGGGGCUUUUGCCACUGGAGUUCCCCCUGUGUUGAGUCACGGUGGCAGAAGGCACAGUGACAGAAGUCCCUGGGAGCCGCUGACUGGCGCUUGGAGGACUGAGUGAUUCAGCAGCGAGGCCCCCCUCUGGCCCUCCUGCCCCAGAAAGCUCUGGAUCUGCACGGAAGCAGCACGGUAAAGGGUGGACGAAUUGUGGGUGUGGAUGCUUUCCCACAAGUCUGUGCUCCCCAGUUCAGUUGUCUGGGCUCUUAUUAAAAGGGUUCGUUCUCCUCCUUAGAGUCAGACGGAGGCCCCCUGUGGGCUGCUGCUUGGGAACGGCCGGGGGUGUUCUCUGGCUGGGGCUUCAGAGGAUGCAAGGACAACCCCACAGAGCAGGAACAGCCUGCCAGUUCCAUGCCCGCAGCGGCCCCCAGAGCAGCUGCCCCAGGACACACGGAUGAGAGGGGAGGGUGUCAGAGGGGCUUCGGUAGACUUGUUGCCAUGGAAGAACUGUGGGACCAGUACAGCCAGACAUCCUAACUUUUCCAGAGAAGCCAUAAAUCUGGAUUUUCCUGUGAAGUCUUCUGACAUUUCACCCUUUGCAACCCAUUAAAUUGUUUUAAAAACACCUCCUGCGUCAAAGAAAAUGACUUUGGGCCACCCUCUUAUGCCCUCCAAUUUAGACCCCAAACAGCAAGCAGAGUGUCCACCUCUUUAGUCCAGAUGAUUAGCACCCAGCACCUGUGGUGACGUGCUCCUCAGAGCGCUCCUUCCUCAGGGGGCGAAGCUGGCAAAUGCGACUGGGGCAGGCGCAAGUGCUGGCAUCAGU